rnacentral:rRNA from 1 species
UACGUAGGGUGCAAGCGUUGUCCGGAUUUAUUGGGCGUAAAGAGCUCGUAGGCGGUUCGUCGCGUCGGCUGUGAAAUCCCGGAGCUCAACUCCGGGUCUGCAGUCGAUACGGGCGGACUCGAGUUCGGCAGGGGAGACUGGAAUUCCUGGUGUAGCGGUGAAAUGCGCAGAUAUCAGGAGGAACACCGGUGGCGAAGGCGGGUCUCUGGGCCGUAACUGGCGCUGAGGAGCGAAAGCGUGGGGAGCGAACAGG